AAAAUUUUGUCCAAGUUCUUGUACAUGCGCUUGGUUUUCGUCAAGAAAAAUGUAAUCCUGGAAUCGAUGCGCGUUCAUCUGAAACAUUUUGUAAGUUGCGUAAAAAAAAGGGCUCAACGGAAGCAUUUCCUUCCGACACGCUGCUUACACAGAGGAAAAGCGGACGUGGCUGAGGACAGGGGAAUGGUGUGUGAAGUAGGACGCUAAAGCCACGCCCCCAGUAGUGCACUGGGGUGUGCACUGUGCAAAACAACAUUGGUUUGGCUAAGGACCCCUGAAAAUGGCACCUAUGAAGAGACACGCGUACGAAGCACAGUUUUAACUGCAAGCUAUCAGUUACGCGGAGGAACAUGGGAAUCGAGCAUCCGCGAGAGUAUUCAAGAUCAACGAAUCCAUGGUUCGCAAGUGGAGGAAGCAGGAAAACGAGCUUCGGCAAGUCAAGAAG